GGGUAACCUGCCCUAUGCUGGAUAAUAACCUCGGGAAACUGAGAAUAAUGAUCCAUAGUUCACUACGCCUGGAACGGUGAGUGGAUGAAAGCUCCGGCGGCAUAGGAUGGGCCUGCGGCGUAUCAGGUUGUAGGGGGUGUAACGUACCCUCUAGCCCUCUACGCGUACGGGUGUUGGGAGACAUAGCCCGGAGAUGGAUUCUGAGACACGAAUCCAGACCCUACGGGGUGCAGCAGGCGCGAAAACUUGGCAAUGCGAGAAAUCGUGACCAGGGAACUCCAAGUGCAUCGGGUAAGACCGGUGCUUUUCUUGACUCUAAAUAGGUCUUGGAAUAAGGGGUGGGUAAGGACGGUGCCAGCCGCCGCGGUAAUACCGGCGCCUCAAGUGGUAGUCGCUUUUAUUGGGCCUAAAACGUCCGUAGCCGGUCUGAUACAUUCGUGGGUAAAUCAACCAGCUCAACUGGUUGAAUUCUGCGAGGACGGUCAGACUUGGGACCGGGAGAGGUGUGGGGUACGCUCAGGGUAGGGGUAAAAUCCUGUCAUCCUGAGCGGACCACCUGUUGCGAAGGCGCCACACUAGAACGGAUCCGACGGUCAGGGACGAAGCCUAGGGGCACGAACCGGAUUAGAUACCCGGGUAGUCCUAGGUGUAAACGCUGUGGACUUGAUGUUGGGGGUGCUCCGAGCACUCUCAGUGUCGAAGCGAAAGUGAUAAGUCCACUGCCUGGGAAGUACGGUCGCAAGGCUGAAACUU
rnacentral:rRNA from 1 species